rnacentral:rRNA from 1 species
CAUGUGGUUUAAUUCGAUGAUACGCGAGGAACCUUACCUGGCUUAAUGUAGAGUGCAUUUUUAGAGAUAGAAAUUCCUUCGGGAGCCAUUACAGGGUGUUGGCAUGGCUGUCGUCAGCUCGUGUCGUGAGAUGUUCGGUUAAGUCCGCUAACGAGCGCAACCCUCGCUGUGUGUUAUAUGUGUCACACAGGACUGCUGGUAUUAAGCCGGAGGAAGUGGGACGACGUCAAGUCAGCAUGACCUUUAUAUCCAGGGCUACACACACGCUACAAUGGUCAGUACAAUGGGUUGCCAAGCCGCGAGGCGGAGCCAAUCCUAAAAAGCUGGCCUCAGUUCAGAUUGCAGUCUGAAACUCGACUGCAUGAAGUCGGAGUUGCUAGUAAACGCAGGUCAGCUAUACUGCGUUGAAUACGUUCCCGGGGCUU